GGAGCCUCGCAACCCCUUUACUAGAGCUACCCUUUGCACCCGCAGUGUUCAGUGCUCAGCUGGCUAUGCUGCCAUGGAAAGUGCUCACCCUGUGCAUCCUAAAGCAAGUCUUCACGAUCUGAGAUGCAGUGAGGACUCUUUGAAUGGGAGAAGGACUUUAGAGCUUUCCAUUAUGGAAGGAAGAUUCUAGAUCUUGAUUAAGGAGAAAGUUUCCCGGGGGACAAUGAUGGGGUUCAAAGGUAGGACUUAUGA